UUUACUGUACUAUUUACGAUUUACUGCUUUAUCUCAAACACGUUAAGAAGGCAAGUGUGGAAGCGGGGAUGUGAUCGAGUGUCCGCUGUGGGCAGCGAGGAGUCCGGUGGAACCAACUGGUAACAUGUGACUACCUCAUGAUGCUGGAUAUGCCAGUUAUGGGAAGAGUGUAUAAAGCUGCCAAGGUAAACAAUGGCUCCUGUGAAGAAUUGAAAAUAUGAAAAGUUUCGUUCUUUAAACAUAGCUGUUCCUGUUUCCAUUUCCUUGCUCCCCGAGCUACAAGAAUGUGACACUGGUGCCAAAACCUGGGAUUGAGGAGAAAGCACCAUCAUGGAGUGAGUCCGCACCAGUCGCCAUGAUCCUCCAGAUCACUGUCAGCAGCCACCAAGCUCAACAUCAGGCCCUUGUCAUGCUGUGCGCAGAGCAUUAGCAGUGCUUUUGGGCUCUGCUCCAGGCCCAGGCAGAGGACCGGCAGGAGCAGCUGGACCAGGGUCCAGAUCACCCGUGGAUGCUGUGGCCAAAUCGCAUGUUCAACUGUACAAGGUGCCCUUUCCCCUGUACCUGAGGGACGCUGGGGGAGAAGUUCAACUCCACGUCCACGUCGUCCCCCGGCUGGCAACGUAUCAAAGUAAGGGACUGCCAGCCAAGUUGAAGUACGGUGGGGACUUCGUGUGCCCUGGCGCCGCCACGGUAGCCGUGAAGGCUUGGCUGGAACCCUGAAACGAUGUGGCCAAUGGAGCUCUGGCACCCCGCUCCACGAGGGAACCAGCAUCAGUGGUGCAGCUCCUUACUGGCCCAAUCGUCUCGCCCUAUGGCCUGCCAUCGGAUCACUGCUGUGGAAUCAAGUGGUGCAGGCGGGAAUUGUGCAAGCUUGCCACCACUAUUAUCAACAAAUCUUCAUGCAGGCUUUCUCAUUACCUGAAGGGCAUGUUGCGUAAAUAGAAACUUAUGGGGCUGUGACUAAAUGUUAUGCCAGAAGAAGACUUUAACAUUCUGGUCUCAAAGCCAGAUUGAAACUGACAAAGAUGAGAUGUCAGUAAAUAUUUUAGGAGCAGGUCAUCCACGUUUCUGGUUUCUAUAAUCACUUUCGCAAACUCACAUAACCUGGCAGGGUUUUCAACACUGGAACAUGUCAGUGCACAUACAGUGACGUGAAUGUCAUCUUGGAUAUGAAUGUCAUGGCAAUAUUUAGGCUUUCGGUAAUUUCUUUGAACCGUUCUUUUUCUGUGGCAGAAUGAUUGUACAGCAAACGUCUUUAAUAAA